UUUUGACCACGAACCGUGGGGCAAAACCCCCCGGCAACAGGGAAUAUAUUAAAAAACAACAAAGUAAAAUACAGACUUACAGGGAGAGAGAGAGCUAACCAGCGGCUAGGCGCUAAAUUAGACAACUACCUAACUGAAGGAGGAAGGGGGGGGGUGUUACAGGGCAUGAAGCCAUUGAGAGAUGGAGGGAUGCAGGUUCUGUUUGAUUCUAAUAAGAUGAUCAGCAACUUCAGAUUUGAAUGAGGUCUUCCAUGUAGCAAUACAUGGCACUUUGUUGUCAAAUAUGAGCCCAUUCCUUUCCUUCCAAAUGCACCAGGCACCAAUCAGGAAGAUCUCCAUAAAGAAAGGUUGCCCAAAACCCUGCUUUGCAAUGUAAAUCUUUUGAUGUAUAUUUGCAUUUGCACUCCAUGUAAUCCCUAG
rnacentral:lncRNA from 1 species